GGAUUAGAUACCCUGGUAGUCCACGCCCUAAACGAUGUAUGCUUGGUGUUAUGGUCUUUAGACCUUAGUGCCGGAGGAAAUCCGUUAAGCAUACCACCUGGGGAGUACGAUCGCAAGGUUGAAACUCAAAGGAAUUGACGGGGGCCCGCACAAGCGGUGGAUUAUGUGGUUUAAUUCGAUGCAACGCGAAGAACCUUACCCGGGCUUGAAGUGCAGUGGACCGUCCUUGAAAGGGGACUUCUCUUCGGAGCUGCUGUAGAGGUGCUGCAUGGCUGUCGUCAGCUCGUGCCG
rnacentral:rRNA from 1 species